UACGGUAGGGGGCUAGCGUUGUUCGGAAUUACUGGGCGUAAAGCGCGCGUAGGCGGACCUGCAAGUCGGGGGUGAAAGCCCGAGGCUCAACCUCGGAACUGCCUUCGAUACUGCGGGUCUCGAGUCCGGGAGAGGUGAGUGGAAUUCCUAGUGUAGAGGUGAAAUUCGUAGAUAUUAGGAAGAACACCAGUGGCGAAGGCGGCUCACUGGCCCGGUACUGACGCUGAGGCGACGAAAGCGUGGGGAGCAAACAGGG
rnacentral:rRNA from 1 species